GUGGGGAAUAUUGGGCAAUGGGCGAAAGCCUGACCCAGCAAUGCCGCGUGAAGGACGAAGGUCUUCGGAUUGUAAACUUCUUUGAUCAGGGACGAAAGAAAUGACGGUACCUGAAGAACAAGCCACGGCUAACUACGUGCCAGCAGCCGCGGUAAUACGUAGGUGGCAAGCGUUAUCCGGAUUUACUGGGUGUAAAGGGCGUGUAGGCGGAUUCUCAAGUUGGAUGUGAAACCCCUUGGCUAAACUAAGGGCUUGCAUUCAAAACUGAGGACCUUGAGUAUCAGAGGGGAAAGUGGAAUUCCUGGUGGAGCGGUAAAAUGCGUAGAGAUCAGGAGGAACACCGGUGGCGAAGGCGACUUUCUGGCUGAUAACUGACGCUGAGGCGCGAAAGCGUGGGGAGCAAACAGGA
rnacentral:rRNA from 1 species